rnacentral:rRNA from 1 species
UGGGGAAUAUUGCACAAUGGGCGCAAGCCUGAUGCAGCCAUGCCGCGUGUGUGAAGAAGGCCUUCGGGUUGUAAAGCACUUUCAGCGAGGAGGAAGGGUUCAGUGUUAAUAGCACUGUUCAUUGACGUUACUCGCAGAAGAAGCACCGGCUAACUCCGUGCCAGCAGCCGCGGUAAUACGGAGGGUGCAAGCGUUAAUCGGAAUUACUGGGCGUAAAGCGCACGCAGGCGGUUUGUUAAGUCAGAUGUGAAAUCCCCGCGCUUAACGUGGGAACUGCAUUUGAAACUGGCAAGCUAGAGUCUUGUAGAGGGGGGUAGAAUUCCAGGUGUAGCGGUGAAAUGCGUAGAGAUCUGGAGGAAUACCGGUGGCGAAGGCGGCCCCCUGGACAAAGACUG